GCUCUGGCUACAUGGAUGGCAUGGGUAGGUUUCAGGUGUAUGCACUGAGGAGUUCCCAGGUGUUACUCCUGUGUCUGGAAUUUACCGUUAAGUCAAAGUCAAUUUUUUUUUUUUUUUUAGAGUUUGUACAUAGUAAAGCAGAAAUGUAUGACUAGUGGAAAUUCCUUCCUGGUGACAUGAGUGAUUUGUCUCCAAGAAACUCAUGGUAGAUCAAUGAUCAUUUUAGAUAUUUGCCCAUAAUCAAAUAAGGGUAAUUAUUUUAUACUUAAAAUAUUUCAAACUUUUGUCCAAAAUGGCAGGCUAGAAGAACAUGCAUUGUAUAGAGCUACUGUUUGUGGAAUUUAUUCCCAAGUUUCCACUGUAACAGGAUGGCAGUGAGAAACAGAUUCCAUUCACCUGACUCCAGGAUGCAUUUGUGGUGCUGUGAGCUUAUGGCACAGGGCUGCUGUGGACUCAUUUCAGGAGAGUGGGAUGAUAUUUAUUAACAAAGCCAAGCAUCACCUAGUGAUGGGGUAUACCCUGAAAGACACAUUGUCAGGAGAUUUCAUCUGUAAUCAUUGUAGAGUGUACAUUAACAUGGCACCAUCACCCAGUGACAGUUUAUCUUAUGGGACCUCUACAUUUGUCGUCUGUCAUUGCAGAAAUGUGGCUAUGUGUAUUUGUCUUUGUUGUGUACUCACGAAAUACAGUAUCAUAAGUUGUUAUGUGCCAAAACAUGUGCUGAAGUUGUGAGAACUAGUGUGCACUUGGAGAAGUGAUCAUCUUUCAUAUGAUCUAGGUAACUCUACUGAAAGAUGAGAGCGAGCCAGAAAUGGAAUAGAUAAUUGUACAUUUUCCCAUGACCACUGUUACCACUGAAUACAGACAGCAUGACGCGCCUGCAUGUCCAUCCGUACAUUUUCCUUCUUGGUCCUGUUCAUUCCUGUAGGCUAGAUGAGAGGGCUAAGAACAGAAGCAGCAUUCCCUGCCCCUUCUAAAGUCCUGCCUGGAAAACAGCUGAUGCCCGUGGGAUACCGUGGCUCGGUAACAUAAGCCAAUAGUGAUUGUUUAUGAAGUAGCUGAGGGAAUAAAUUUUUAAAAAUUGAAAUUCUAGUCACACAAAUAUUUAAGUCUUUGGAAAUUCGAACCAGGUAUCUUUCAAAAAUAAACAGCAGGAUCUGUGCUCAGUAUUUCCUUUGAUGUUUCCAUGAGCUGAAAUUAGUUGAUCAACAUUACCCAAUGCCAUUUUUAUGUUGGAAGCCAUUCUCAAGUUCAGGAUGUUUGUAAAGUUGUAACAUAAUCGCUGGUGGCUUUGUUCAGGUUCAUUAUAAUAGAUUUCAAAAGGUAAACACCACUGCCCAGUUAAUUUUUUUUCCUGAUAAAGUCUCUGAAUUUUGUGAGCCAGGCAUUGCAAGCUUAUAAAAUAAUUCUGCAGAUCUUCUGUUUUCUUACAUCUCAUUCCUUACCCUACUAUGGUAUGGGGGCAGACUGCAAUUACACUUUCACAAUUACUUUAUUAUACGGCUGAAAUAUACUCCCGGAGCUCCUAUUACCUUUUCCAAAUACCAUUUGCUCAGACCUGCUGAUGGCUGUCAGCAGCGCUUCCUCGGGACAAUCAACCAUUCUUAGUGGGUUGUGUUUAAAUUCAGAACACCACAAAUAAAGAGCACCGCUCUCUCCUUGCUGAUGAAUUUUUAAUGCUCAAGCAUUUAUAAUAAUUCAAAGGACUUCAUUACAACGGCAUGCAGAAUCAGGCCCGUGUGUUUUAGGAUGUUGGAUCUUUAUUUGUGAUCUUUGUCAAGGAUCUAAAAAUGAGAACAACAUAGCAUUAAACAGUGUGCUUUUGUGUCUCUAGCAACCUGAGAAUUACCAUGUCACUAUGUUUGAGCAUUUUUACCCUAAAAAGAGGUUGUUUUAAGAUUCCCUACUUCACACAAUUUGCUCAAAAGCUCCUCCAUCCUUCAUAAUUGCAUUUUACAGAGG
rnacentral:lncRNA from 1 species